UUACAUAACAUUUGACUGGGCCAGUCAUUAUUAAUCUCAGCCCAAAACAUAAAAAAUAUUUGUACCCUAUAUAAUAAGAUCGAAACGGACGGCUGAGAUUGCAUCCUAUGUUUUGCAGUUUUUUGAGUCGGUCAUCGAAUCCGAAAAGCGGAAAAGGCUUUCUCACGUAAUAAAUUAAGCUUGUAGAGGGUAGAUUCGUAACUAAGCAGCGUGUUUUCCUUUUUUCGGGUUGAGAAUCGGACCCAGAACAGCCAAUUUUAAUUCCGGGUCGGGUUAUAAACCUCUAUAUAUAUGGUAAAGCCCGCUUCUUUGUCACCCGCUUCACGAUUUCUUCUUCUUCGUCGUCUUCUCUCCCAAUCGUCCAAUUA